GGGGAAUUUUGGACAAUGGGGGCAACCCUGAUCCAGCCAUGCCGCGUGAGUGAAGAAGGCCUUCGGGUUGUAAAGCUCUUUCGGCCGGGAAGAAAUCGUGCAGGCUAAUACCCUGUAUGGAUGACGGUACCGGAAUAAGAAGCACCGGCUAACUACGUGCCAGCAGCCGCGGUAAUACGUAGGGUGCGAGCGUUAAUCGGAAUUACUGGGCGUAAAGCGUGCGCAGGCGGUUUUGUAAGACAGGCGUGAAAUCCCCGGGCUCAACCUGGGAACUGCGCUUGUGACUGCAAGACUAGAGUACGGCAGAGGGGGGUGGAAUUCCACGUGUAGCAGUGAAAUGCGUAGAGAUCGGGAGGAACAUCAGUGGCGAAGGCGACUGCCUGGGCCAACACUGACACUGAGGCACGAAAGCAUGGGGAGCAAACA
rnacentral:rRNA from 1 species